rnacentral:rRNA from 1 species
UACCAGCACCCCGAGUGGUCGGGACGAUUAUUGUGCCUAAAGCAUCCGUAGCCGGUUCUACAAGUCUUCCGUUAAAUCCACCUGCUCAACAGAUGGGCUGCGGAAGAUACUAUGGAGCUAGGAGGCGGGAGAGGCAAGCGGUACUCGAUGGGUAGGGGUAAAAUCCGUUGAUCCAUUGAAGACCACCAGUGGCGAAGGCGGCUUGCCAGAACGCGCUCGACGGUGAGGGAUGAAAGCUGGGGGAGCAAACCGG